rnacentral:rRNA from 1 species
GGACCCGCACAAGCGGUGGAGCAUGUGGUUUAAUUCGAAGCAACGCGAAGAACCUUACCAGGUCUUGACAUCCCCCUGACCGGUCCGUAACGGGACCUUUCCUUCGGGACAGGGGAGACAGGUGGUGCAUGGUUGUCGUCAGCUCGUGUCGUGAGAUGUUGGGUUAAGUCCCGCAACGAGCGCAACCCUUAUUCUUAGUAGCCAGCAAGUGAAGUUGGGCACUCUAGGGAGACUGCCAGGGAUAACCUGGAGGAAGGCGGGGAUGACGUCAAAUCAUCAUGCCCCUUAUGAUCUGGGCUACACACGUGCUACAAUGGUGACUACAAAGGGAAGCGAAGCUGUGAAGUGGAGCAAAUCCCAAAAAGGUCAUCUCAGUUCGGAUUGUAGUCUGCAACUCGACUACAUGAAGCUGGAAUCGCUAGUAAUCGCGAAUCAGAAUGUCGCGGUGAAUACGUUCCCGGGUCUU